rnacentral:misc_RNA from 1 species
GAUGAAGAACGUAGCGAAAUGCGAUACGUAGUGUGAAUUGCAGAAUUCAGUGAAUCAUCGAAUCUUUGAACGCACAUUGCACCUCUCGGUAUUCCGGGAGGUAUGCCUGUUCGAGCGUCAUUUGUACCCUCAAGCUCUGCUUGGUGUUGGGUGUUUGUUCCGCCUCUGUGUGUGAACUCGCCUCAAAACAAUUGGCAGCCGGCGUACUUGUUUCGGAGCGCAGCACAUUUUGCGAUCCAGAUCAACGUACAGCGGCAUCCAAGAAGCCUUAUUUAACGCUCUUGACCUCGGAUCAGGUAGGGAUACCCGCUGAACUUAAGCAUAUCAAUAAGCGGACGA